rnacentral:rRNA from 1 species
CGGGGGGCUGCAGCAGUGGGGAAUAUUGCACAAUGGGCGCAAGCCUGAUGCAGCCAUGCCGCGUGUAUGAAGAAGGCCUUCGGGUUGUAAAGUACUUUCAGCGGGGAGGAAGGGAGUAAAGUUAAUACCUUUGCUCAUUGAUGUUACCCGCAGAAGAAGCACCGGCUAACUCCGUGCCAGCAGCCGCGGUAAUACGGAGGGUGCAAGCGUUAAUCGGAAUUACUGGGCGUAAAGCGCACGCAGGCGGUUUGUUAAGUCAGAUGUGAAAUCCCCGGGCUCAACCUGGGAACUGCAUCUGAUACUGGCAAGCUUGAGUCUCGUAGAGGGGGGUAGAAUUCCAGGUGUAGCGGUGAAAUGCGUAGAGAUCUGGAGGAAUACAGGUGGCGAAGGCGGCCCCCUGGACGAAGACUGACGUUCAGGUGCGAAAGCGUGGGGAGCAAACAGGAUUAGAUACCCUAGUAGUC